CACNCAAUGCCGAGUUANGGGNACGCGUUAGUCCACCAAGAGGUGAGGCNUCUGUCUUCCUUUUGACGCUUGCACNNAGNUGAGUCGCGAANGCGAGCUGNAGCUNNUGCNCAUGAGCUGUAUCAUGGCCCCGAAUNGUAGNGCGGCGUAUAACCACCUGUGUAAACGCGNUGUGCCNUAAGUACACGUCAUAACGUCNUUANGUACCAAAGUAGGGGGANCUUCGGGCCUCUCACUAUCGGAUGAACCCAGAUGGGAUUAGCUAGNAGGCGGGGNAAUGGCCCACCUAGGNGACGAUCCCUAGCUGNUCUGAGAGGAUGACCAGCCACACUGGAACUGAGACANGNUCNACANUNNUACGGGAGGCAGCAGUGGGGAAUAUUGCACAAUGGGCGCAAGCCUGAUGCAGCCAUGCCGCGUGUAUGAAGAAGGCCUUCGGGUUGUAAAGUACUUUCAGCGGGGAGGAAGGCGAUGCGGUUAAUAACCGCGUCGAUUGACGUUACCCGCAGAAGAAGCACCGGCUAACUCCGUGCCAGCAGCCGCGGUAAUACGGAGGGUGCAAGCGUUAAUCGGAAUUACUGGGCGUAAAGCGCACNCAGGCGGUCUGUUAAGUC
rnacentral:rRNA from 1 species